rnacentral:tRNA from 1 species
ACCUGGCUGGCUCAGUUGGUGGAGCAUGUGACUCUUGAUCUCGGGGUCAUGAGUUCAAGCCUCAUGUUGGGUG